GGUCUCAGUGCGACUUUAACCCCUAUGCUUUAAUUAGCUUGAGCAUAUUAUUGGUAAAUUACUCUUUCAUGGAUUGUUUUAUAUUGUUAUACAAUCUUAGCUGUUUACUUACAUAAGCAUGCAUGCAUGUUUCGGUCAUCAACUUUCAGUAUAACCAGACAGCACCAACAGAAAUAUACCUUACAAUGAGUGCACAGCAUCACAUUGCAGCCUCCUAUUUUCUGUA